CUGCCUGUGAGGUGUGUGGGAUGCCGGCUUUGUGAACCAUGGCUGUUUCCCCACUGCAGCCUCCACUUGGUCACUGUUCAGAGCCUUUGAACUGGGUCCAGUGAAUGUUUACCUCGUGCUAAUGUAGAUUUCCCACGUGAUGCACUGGGAUAACGUGAAACCUGCUCAACUUGAGCAGCUCAUUUUGUGCUCCAAAUGGAAAUCUGGAGGAUGGGAGCAAGUGCUUCUCUGGCCAAAGAAAGAGCAAACUCAGCUGAAGAAGAGCCAUCGCUGGGCAUGCCAAAGGGACCAGAACCAUCACCACCUUCCCCUUCGGUCACUGAUGCUCAGUCACACAGAGGUGCUGCCCUGCCCUAGGAUUUUACCAUGCACAGGAAGGCUAAUGACGUCAAACACUAAAGAUCUGACAAGUGGAGUCAAUCGGGAGUCUGCUGGUGUGCCCUGCUCCUACGGCUUUGUCACCCUGAAAGCUGUGAGCACAAGGACAGGAGUCCCUAGAAGCCCAUGCCAAGAGCCAGUCUAUCAGAAGGAUAAACAGAUUGGAUGGGAGCCUCUGGAGUGCACAUGCUGGCUAAUAUAUCCUUGA
rnacentral:lncRNA from 1 species